AAAAUCGCGACUCCACGGACGGCCGUAAUUAACAUUUACGUCUGAUUGCAAAAUAAAACAACUGCUGUAUUUUACUAUUUUGGGCACAUCGUCGCAUACAAACAUACGUACUAUAUUUACGUUGCCUGGCUGGCUGGCCCUGUGUCUGUUUAUUGUUUGGUGGGGGUCUGUUCGGAAACAACAAUUACUGAAAAAUACCAACAAACAAAACAACUUUUUCUGUGACGUAUACGUCGAACUGCCAAUUUCCCAUAUAUUAUUGCGGGUCUGCUGUGACUACUGUCUUGUUGUUGUUCACUAUUUUGUGUUGCGUUGUGUGCUGGCUGUUUUGUUUUUGGAACUGCAUACACUUGAUUUAUACCACAACAACAACGACAUUUUCUACUCCUUAUAUUGGACACCAUUUUCGAAAAGCAGCUCGAAGAAAUUCAGCAACAACAACGAACGAAUUUUUAUCUUGAACAAAACUGAACGAAGAACAACAAAUUUCCAUUUUAUUCAGUUUUGCACUUGCGAAGAAGAAACGAUCCUAUUAUUACGCUGUACGGAAAACAUUUGUGAAUACAUUUUGGAACAAAUUUCUAGUGAGGAAAAAGAACAUAGCAGUUGCUUUAAAAGGUCCAUUGUGUGCCAGGUGCACACAAUUUGCUGCGUAGCCUACACAGUGUGACAAAACUUUUUAGUUUGCCAUCCUCCAUAUCCUGGAUAUGAAUAAUCGUAGUUCAGCAGAAUGGGGAGAACUACCAUCAUUGGUAUUGGGCCAGAUUUACGAAUACUUGGAGCCGCGUGAUCGACUAAAUGCCAGUCAGAGCUGCAAACAUUGGCGCAGUGUAUUAUUCCAAAAGAGAUUCUUCACCAAUUUUAAACUCAAACUAAAUAUUGACAACGAUCGUCAGUGUAAAUUUUUUCGCCAUACUUUAUACAAUCUGACGAGCGAGCUUAUUAUUAUUUUUGAUUUCAUCAAUGUUUUCCAUAUUGAAAAGAUACGACGCAUCUUAUACAGAAUUGCACGAUGUGAUAAUUUACAAGGUUUACGUUUUCAAACAAAUAAUGUUGGUUUAACACCACCAGGUGAUAUCAGUGAAGAAAAUCUAGUCGACAUAGAACAACUCUUUGUUGAACCAUUGAAAGUAUUUUUAAAUCGCAAGCGAACACCUUGCAAUAUUUUGGAUUUAGGUGCAAUUGAAGCUUUAACAUACUAUGGUUUGGACUUUUUGAAAUCUCUGAGCCGGCCUCAAGAUCUAAAAGAGCUGACCUUGGCCUCCAUAAAAUACGAUCCUAGUCAUUAUCCCAUGUUCGCCAUGGAGAAUAAGUUGAUACAAAAGUGUACAUCAUUGCAAGUGCUUUCACUGGAUUAUGACACCCUUAACGAAGAACUACUGCAUGCAUUAAAGAUUUUACCACUCAAAAAAUUUUUAAUUUGUGUACAUGGUUUGGAUCGUCAUCAUCCGGGUAUAUCUGAACGAACUUGGGCUGAAUUCUCGGCAAAUUUCAAUAAUAUUGAAUUAAUUGUAUCACUUAUUUAUGCCUAUGAAGCCGUUGAAGUUCUACAGAUGCGUAUUUUGCGUCAAAAUAUGCCCAUAACUCAUUUGAGAGUAUUGUUUUGUGAUUAUAUGAAUGUUGAAGCAUUGGAAUGGAUUUCAUUAAACAAUAGUGCCACUUUAAAGAGUAUACAAUGGAUUGAUUCCGCCUACAAACAUUCCGAUAAUAAUAUAAUGGACUUAUUUUUACGCACUGGUCAGGAUCCACUUGUCAUGAUGUCAUGGCGCUGCAAAAAUCUGGAGGAAAUUGUUAUCCAUGGCUAUAUUUUGGAUCCACACAACAUUGUGGGCAUUUCUCGUUUACGCGGUCGUACCUUGAAACGUCUGGAGGUAUCAAUGAUUGAUACCGCACCGAAUGAGGCCAGUAUGGAUUCAUUUAUUGAGGAAAUCAAUACAUUAUUAGGCCAAAAAUGGGAGCCUCUUAAUCUCAACAAUACGCAUCCAGCCCUUGGUUAUAUGCCAGUAGCUGAUGAUGUGCGUGAUGAAUAUGUCUUCGAUCUCAUACGACGUGAUAUUUCUAAUUAGAAACGAAAAAUAAUAUAAACUAAUCUAAACUAAAUCAUUGACUUGAUUUAAAAAAUGGCAACUUAAAAAGCAACAACACAAAAUGGAAAUUCAACACAAAUAAAAUCAUUAGUUAUUUAAUAUAGAAAAGCAAAAGAAACAGCAACACGUUUAACAACAUUUAAUGUUAAGCAAAAAUCCCAUCAGCCGCAUGAAAAUAACAACGUCAGCAAAAAAUAUCCCCAAUAAUUUCAAUUGCGAAAUAAGCCAAGUCAUGCAAACUUAAAACGACGUGAAAACUCCAACAGAUGAAAGAAUAACUACCAACAUCAUCAUCAGCCUGCCUGCCUAUCCAGCACAGCAGGUUUUGUAAGAGAGUAACAAAUGGCUAUAAUAUUAACUUAGAUUAUAGAAAUGUAACAUGAAUAUCCAUAGACAGAAAUGUCCCUUUCCCCUCAAAAUCCAACACAAAAGAACAAAAUGUUGUUUUAUAUUAAAAAGAAAAACAAAAACAACAAGAAACAAACAUCUAACAACAUUUGCAAAACAAAACCAACAAAAAAUGAAAAGAACAUUAAAAUGUAUUUAAAACUGAAAAGACUUAAGCACUUCACAAAUUGUGGCGUACAACGACGAAAUUGUGAAACCUGCUAUAAAAACAACAACAACAAACAAACAAACAAAUGCAACAAAAACACUAAUUUGUAUUAAUACAGACAACAAGAAAACAUCAAACUGUGAUUAAAAAUGAAAGCCAUCUUAAAUAGAGAAUACAAAAAAACUAAUUAGCAAACAAAACAAACUACAACAGUAAAUGCAGAGCGACAGUAGCGAGAGCUAUGUUAAAAUCUAAAGCAAUUAACAAUUAUUUUAGGGAAAUGAUAACACCUUGUUAGUAGUAAUGAAGAAAGUAAAUAAGGAAGAAGAUGAAAAUCAAAAAAUAUAAAAUCCUUGAAAUCUACUAAGGCUCUAAAAAUGCCUGCAAACUCUCUUUGCUUUCCUCUGUACACUUUUUUAAUUUUUCUUUAGAUUUUAUGUUUAUAUUUUUUUUAUUAUAGAAAAUCUUUGUUAGACCAAGGAACAUUUAUACAAUCCAUAACUGUUUUAGGAUAUGUCAAAUAUAUUUUUAGUAUUGAAUAUUGAAAAAUCAUUAAUACCAUAAACAUGCCCACAUAACAAAGCAGUUCCAUUAGAAAACCAAUCCAAAAAAGAAAAAGCUAUACAUUAAAUAAAUUUCUUUUUAUUAAGACAAACAAAAACAAACAAUAAGCUCAAAAAAGAAUAUCCCUGUUAUGUUAAACAAAAAAAGAAAGAAAAAAAAAAAACAAAAUUGUGAUUUAUACAGGCAUUAUUUAAAUUAUUACUUAAAAACAAAAAACAUAUGCACAUACAUCUUUGUUGUAAUUUUAUAACAACUAAACCAUAACAUUAUGAUUACCAAAAACCAGUGGUCAUGUAUAGAAGACUCAAAAAUACAAGCAACCAUCAUGUGUGGGACAACAAGAAAUUUGACCAAAAUUAAAAAAAAAAACAA